GCGGUAGAUCAGUGGCAGAGCAUCUGCCUUGCAUUCAGGGGGUCCCAGGUUCAAUCCCUAGCAUCUCCC
rnacentral:tRNA from 1 species